UGUUUCGGCUGCGCCGAGUGUGAAGCUGUUGCGGGAAAUCCGGGGAAAUCUCGCAAUAGCUUC
rfam:Mycobacterium abscessus strain PAP053 genome assembly, contig: ERS075544SCcontig000001